AUUACAUUGAUGAUUUUUUACCAUUGAACAAGGCUUGCAUCCCUGGAAUAAAUUCCACUUGGUCAUAGUCUAUUAUUCAUGUGGAUUCUGAUGGCCACCCACACAGGAAACCCUGGAUGAGCGGAGGGUCAUCCCAGCGCCGUCGCCUGGCCACUUCAGGGAAGCAGAGAGAAGCUCCAUAAUGACAAGGGCUGUCUCCAGGCUCCAUCCUAGAAACUGGAUCGCUCUCUGUGGAGCAGCUCAACACCAACAAGAUGACAGUGGCCUGAGAGCAUUUCCCACGAAAACGAUCUUUGUUCACAAUUUACAUACAUCACUCCAAAGGUCCUCCUCCCACCCACACCUGGCCACACCCACCUCCCCCACCUCCCUAACCCCCCACAAUCCCGCUCCCCCUCCCCACCCUGGUGGUCCUGCCCACCCUCCC